GCGGAUGUGGCAGAGUGGUCUUCUUUACACAAGAACAUAAUAAUGCGUCGGCCUUGAGAGCCGAUUCGCCCUCGGGCGAUCAGGAGUUCGAAUCUCCUCAUCCGCGCCA
rnacentral:tRNA from 1 species